rnacentral:misc_RNA from 1 species
AAGAAGAACUAGAAAGAGCAUGCAAUAAAUUAAUCAUUUUUAAGAUAUAGAAAUACUUACAGCGAACUCUGCCGCUUUUGGAUAUAUCGGUGUUGUUAUAACUUUAGGAAGUCCGUCUUUAUUUGUAAAUCUACAGGAAUGAAUGCAACUACAUGGUCGAUGCAUAUUUACGUUUACUCUGUUCUCGCUAGCAAACAUGGUACAAACUGAUCACAGAAGCAAAAGAAGUAUUUGCGUCAUUUGUCCAACCCUCAUUAGUUAAUCGACUGGUCUUCAGUUUCAGGAUUGUGAAUAUUUCAACUAUCGUAUCUCCUAUAGAACAUCAUCUGUAGCACUCGACUGACGGUAAGUGCGAAAAAGUCACAGAUGUCACAGUUAUUUUUAAUAACUUACACCUUACAUAUUAAUCUUUUUUAUUAUGUUUAAAAUAGCAUUAUUCUUUGCUUAUUAACUUUU